rnacentral:lncRNA from 10 species
ACAACCAGCAAUUUCUAGGAGAAAGAAAUAGAGAGGAAUAGGGAUAUCUCAUAGAUCAGGCUUUCUUUUUAAAUGUUAAUUUUUAUCUGACUGUAAACUUCAUCUUUUAAAGCCUUUCUCCCAUUAUUAUCAUCAUACCUUGAGUGCUUACAGCUGAAUACUAGUUCUCUCUGACCUUUCUGGAGUCAUAAGCCAUCCUUUCUCUUUGUCACUGUGAUAAUGGAAUGGAUCAGAUUCUUCCUGCAGACAUUAUAAUGGAGUUCAACUGUCUAUGGCAUACACUAAUGAAAAAUGUUAAACCUCACAGCACACAGCAGAUGCCCUGCCUGUAGAUGCCCAUAUGGCAAGCUGGUAUCGGUGAUAUUUUCUCUAAUGUCAAGGGAGCCUGCUGCAUGGAAAGGAUGUUGUGGGUGCCAUUUGGAGGCUUAGG